AUACAUUUCAAUGCCAGACACGCUUUUCAAAAAGUGAUAUCACCUAAAUUAAUAGGAUGCCCUUUUGAUUGUCUCAAUGAGACAAGUCUGUUUAACUUCACAGAGACUUAACCCAUAUCUAUUCAAACAUUUCCAAAUGGCUCUGUCUCUCUCUCUCUCUCCCCCUCUCUCUCUCUCUAAAAUGGUUCUCUCUCACUAGCACUAAUUAAGGAGCUGUGGAUGCAACCAGCAAUGAAGACUUCUUGGAGUUUAUAGAUCUACAGAGAGAUUGAUGCUUCUAAUCUCAACGAUUUCUUGUUCAAUCUGGAUCUCGAUUUCAAUUUGUGCACUAGGGCUUGGGAUUUAAUAUUUUCCUUCGAGAUUUUUCGAUUUCCCUUCGAGAUUUUUCGAUUUCCCUUAAUCUUGACCGAUCUAGGUCUUCGUUUUUCAUGGAUUCAGGUAUCCAGUCACUCGUGAUUUGGAGUUGCUGAGUUCACUUGAGAUACAGAGCUUUCAUGGGCUUGUUAUUCAUCGAGUCUGAUCUAGACUUUCUGUGAGUGAACUCAAGAUUCAGAGGUUUUCAUCACUACACAGUAACGAUCUGGAUCUGUGUUCCAUUUAAAUAAACUCUUACUUAGGUUUCGAUUUUCAUCGGCGAUCUAGGUUCUCAUCUCUUCCAUAAACGAUGGCUCGAGCUUGGUUUGGAUGAUUUGGAUCUGAUCUAGGGUUAUGUUUCUCUCAAAGUUGAAAAUGGACCUGAAUAGAACAGAGAGGCAUAUACUGAAGGAGAUGGGUUUCAUUUGCCAUGUUGAACAUCCUCAUAAUUUAUAUCACACUAUCUUGCAGCCCUUGAGACAUCCCCAGAACUGAGACAAGGAGCUUGGAAUCUUGCAAAUGACAGGUAAGGUUCCUCUUGCUGCAAAUCAAAGGUUUUAUAUAAGGAAAAUUGUUGGUAUGCAGUUAAUUUGCGUUGCUCUGGUUGGAAAUUUUUGUGGUAAUCCUCUGGUUCUCACUUCGAGCUAGCUUUCAAAACUACACUAAUUCAUUUUCAAAAUAACAUCAGUCAACAUUCAUUUUCUUUUUUCACUUGCUUUAGCACUUGUUGAAUUGAACACUAUUAUAACAUUUAAUAUUUACUAUUCAUCUUUGACUAUAUAACACUGUUUCAUUUAUUGUUUUGUCAGUUACUUGACUUAAUUCCACAAUGCUAUUACUUAUUCUAGCUGGCACUUACAUAUAUUGAAGAUACACAAUUCAUGGGUGUGUACAUGGGUGUAUACAUAUCAAAGUGAUGAAUCUAGAAAAUAAUUUUAAUAGUGAAAUGUACAGUUCAUAUAUUAUGCACCAACACUAAGAUUUCAAAAUAUUAGUUCUUCUUCUUUGUAGUUCAUUGAACAUUAUUCUGAUUUUUAUUUCUGAUCUCUUUGACUCUUUUAAGUGUUCCUCAAUAAUUUAGAGACAUUGGUACAAACACCACCAGAAUUUAUGACAGCUGGUUGGGAGCAGAUCUAAAGAAUUGAAGUGCUACCAAAAUGUGGAUGGGCAGCCCAUAGUAAUGCAGACAAGUAAUUACACAGUGAUCAUGUUUAAUAAUUAGGAUUUGGUUGAUUAUGUAAUGUGUCAAUAAUAAUGUAAUAUUUAGAUAAAUAAAUGAUAGGACACUGUGUGUGAUAAAUAAAGAAAGAGGGUGAUGGUGAUUGUAGUUGCAGACUAGACUAGACUAUAUACACAAGAACUUAUGUGUGCAUAUCUAUCUUAUCUGUAGAUAUGUGAUGAUGGUGCUGGACAUCUAUAAUAUAGAUAUGCAUUGGUAAAAAUAUUGUGAAAAUCACAUG